rnacentral:rRNA from 1 species
AGACGUCUACAUUAGAUACCCCGGUAGUCCCAGCCGUAAACUAUGCGCGUUAGGUGUAUCGGUGACCACGAGUCACCGAGGUGCCGAAGGGAAACCGUGAAACGUGCCGCCUGGGAAGUACGGUCGCAAGGCUGAAACUUAAGGAAUUGGCGGGGAGCACCACAACGGGUGGAGCCUGCGGUUUAAUUGGACUCAACGCCGGACAACUCACCGGGAACGACAGCAAUAUGUAGGCCAGGCUGAAGACCUUGCCUGAAUCGCUG